AAUCAACGCUGGCGGCGUGCCUCAGACAUGCAAGUCGAACGAUUAAAGCUCCCUUCGGGGAGUGCAUAGAGUGGCGCACGGGUGAGUAACACGUAAGUAAUCUACCUUUGAGUGGGGAAUAACGUUCGGAAACGGACGCUAAUACCGCAUAAUGCAGCGGCAUCGCAAGAUGACAGUUGUUAAAGGAGCAAUCCGCUUAAAGAGGAGCUUGCGGCGGAUUAGCNGUUGGUAAGGUAACGGCUUACCAAGGCUACGAUCUGUAUCCGGUCUAAGAGGACGGUCGGACACACUGACACUGAAUAACGGGUCAGACUCCUACGGGAGCAGCAGUCGGGAAUUUUGGGCAAUGGGCGAAAGCCUGACCCAGCAACGCCGCGUGAAGGAUGAAGUAUUUCGGUAUGUAAACUUCGAAAGAAUAGGAAGAAUAAAUGACGGUACUAUUUAUAAGCUCCGGCUAACUACGUGCCAGCCGCCGCCGUAAU
rnacentral:rRNA from 1 species